AUUGAACGCUGGCGGCAGGCCUAACACAUGCAAGUCGAGCGGAGCGGCGGACGGGCGAGUAAUGCCUAGGAAUCUGCCUGGUAGUGGGGGAUAACGUCCGGAAACGCGCGCUAAUACCGCAUACUAUCAGACGAGUCUAGGUCGGAUUAGCUAGUUGGUGGGUUAAAGGCCUACCAAGGCGACGAUCCGUAACUGGUCUGAGAGGAUGAUCAGUCACACUGGCACUGAGACACGGUCAAGAAUCCUACGGGAGGCAGCAGUGGGGAAUAUUGGACAAUGGGCGCAAGCCUGAUCCAGCCAUGCCGCGUGUGUGAAGAAGGUCUUCGGAUUGUAAAGCACUUUAAGUUGGGAGGCGUUACCAACAGAAUAAGCACCGGCUAACUUCGUGCCAGCAGCCGCGGUAAUUC
rnacentral:rRNA from 1 species